rnacentral:snRNA from 1 species
GAGCUUGCUUCAUCAGCACAUAUAUGAAAAUUGAAAGAAUAUACAGAAGAUUACCACAGUCCGUGCCCAAGGAUGACAUGAAAAUUUAUGAAGCAUUGCAUAUUCUG